rnacentral:rRNA from 1 species
GGAAGACUGGAGUGCAGAAGAGGAGAGUGGAAUUCCUCGUGUAGCGGUGAACUUCGUAGAUAGGUGUAGGAACUCGAGUGACGAGGGCGACUCUCUGGUCUGUAACGGUCGCUGAGGCGCGAAGGCGAGGGGAGCAAACAGGAUUAUAUUCCCUGGUAGUCCACGCCGUAAACGAUGAGUGCUAAGUGUUAGGGGGUUUYCGCCCCUUAGUGCUGCAGCUAACGCAUUAAGCACUCCGCCUGGGGAGUACGACCGCAAGGUUGAAACUCAAAGGAAUUGACGGGGGCMCGCACAAGCGGUGGAGCAUGUGGUUUAAUUCGAAGCAACGCGAAGAACCUUACCAGGUCUUGACAUCCUUUGACCACUCUGGAGACAGAGCUUUCCCUUCGGGGACAAAGUGACAGGUGGUGCAUGGUUGUCGUCAGCUCGUGUCGUGAGAUGUUGGGUUAAGUCCCGCAACGAGCGCAACCCUUGAUUUUAGUUGCCAGCAUUUAGUUGGGCACUCUAAAGUGACUGCCGGUGCAAGCCGGAGGAAGGUGGGGAUGACGUCAAAUCAUCAUGCCCCUUAUGACCUGGGCUACACACGUGCUACAAUGGAUAGUACAAAGGGUCGCGAAGCCGCGAGGUGGAGCUAAUCCCAUAAAACUAUUCUCAGUUCG